GAUGAACGCUAGCUACAGGCUUAACACAUGCAAGUCGAGGGGAAACGAUAUUGGAAGCUUGCUUCCGAUAGGCGUCGACCGGCGCACGGGUGAGUAACGCGUAUCCAACCUGCCCACCACUUGGGGAUAACCUUGCGAAAGUAAGACUAAUACCCAAUGACGUCUCUAGAAGACAUCUGAAAGAGAUUAAAGAUUUAUCGCUGAUAGAUAGGCAUGCGUUCCAUUAGGCAGUUGGCGGGGUAACGGCCCACCAAACCGACGAUGGAUAGGGGUUCUGAGAGGAAGGUCCCCCACAUUGGUACUGAGACACGGACCAA
rnacentral:rRNA from 1 species